GUGUCUGUAGCUCAGUGGAUAGAGCAUUUGUUUCCUACGUAGAAGGUUGUGGGUUUGACCCCUAGCUGAUGCG
rfam:Spinacia oleracea cultivar SynViroflay scaffold29035.con0005.1, whole genome shotgun sequence.